rnacentral:lncRNA from 10 species
CUCUAGAGCGGGGCCAGAAGCUUCGAGGACCGGGAGGGAGAAUUUGGCCGCGCCCCCCAGCUCAGGUGCGCGGCGGGCCAGAGAUUCCUAGUCGAGGGUCCUGGGAGGUAGACGCGUGUUCCAAGACCCCACCCUUCCAAGAGCUCCUUAAUGGAUUCAGUGGGCACUAGGGCCCCGGGAGAAAAGGGGCGGAGAUUCCCGUUCCCAUUUCUCAGGUGAGGAAACUGAUCCGAGAAAGGAUAUUUUAUCUCUCAGGCAGGCAUCAGCCUCAACUCUUGAGUCCCGGGGCUAAAACGACUACGUACAUUUGGUGCCCUGAGACCAUGGCCUACGCACUCAAAACCCGAAACAAUGCUUGGAACAGCAGCGCUCAAUAGACCACACGAAGUGACCCCUCCCCAGACAUCGUGGACACCUGCUCCCAACCAGUUCCUUCCGAAUGCUGAGAAGUGGUCUCCCUUAACUACUAUGCCAAGAAAUGGCUCCCUUGGGGAGGCGUUUAGUCUCUCUCCUCCUUGCCAGCAGUCCUUUUAAUGCCCCCCUCCAAACAAACAUCCCAUGUGAGUAAAAGUAAGGUGCUUGCUAUGGAAACCGUUUUAAGACGCCCAUCACCCCCAGAAGAUCACUUCCAAACUGCUUAAAGAUAGGUAUGCUGGGCCUCAGUGUGAAUGUCAGGCACUGUGUUGGGCACUGACCGUGCAAGGAAAAAGGAAGCAAAAGCCCAGGUGUAGGAUCUCCAAGCAUUUAACUCACCUCCAUCUACCUUUUCUGGGGAAGCUGAGGCACAGACUGUGAGGGAGGACCUGCUCCCUGGGAGUCAGCAGCAGGUCUCAGAGGGUUAGGAUCCAUGAAGUCAAACUCUAUUCCACAGAUCUCCUGAAGCCUAACGCCAGUACAGAGUCAGGUCAUGCACGCCCCACAAAAAGCUUUAUGCUGGGGUCCAUGGCAGAGGGUGGGUAGUAAUUCUACUUUAGGGAACUGCUGACUAUUACCCACUUUUUUUUCAGACUUAUGCCUCCACCCCCACCCCCAACUCAGGCGGGAGGCCAGGGAUCCACAGGCUGCAAUGGAGGAAGGCCAGGUGGUCCCAGUGGUGAUGGCUUCCUCAGGGAAGGGGUGUUGACUUGUCUGGCCCAGUUUAGGGGGUGGAUCUUGGAGUUUUCCCUUGCUGGAAAUUAACACCUUGGGAGGGAGACCUAGACUGUCACCUAUCCAACCCAUAUGGGAGCCACAGAGGAAAAGGACAGAAUUGUCCACACAGAAAGUGUUACAGAAACAGAAAAUGUCAUGUGCAAGCCAUCCACAAAGAACUCUCCACCACAGAUGCCAAUGAGACAAGCGGGGGACAUCCAGGAAGGAUGGGGUGAGGAUCUCUGCCCUUGGGUGAGACUGUCCCCACCACAGCCCCCUUCCCCAAGAAGAAGGGAAGCUUGGUUCACUAUUCUCCCACCUCUGCCUACCUCAAAAAGGAGAAUUGAAGUCUCACCUUGCUAUUAAACUUUUUGCUGAGUUUUUUGAACCAAUCAGCCUUCAAGUCAGGAAGAAGCUCCUUCAGUCUCCAGCACCGCUGGGGGAGAUGGCCCCUGCAUCACCAGCCUUGUCUUCUAGGGAGGGGUGCGUCCACCCGGGACCCUGGAGUGUGCUCUCCUGGAUCCUGCUGAUAAUACCCAUGGCUGGUAUUUGUGCAGCCCUUACCCUGAGCAGGGCAUUGUGCUAAACAGUUAAGGUACAUUAUCUUAUUUAGCCCUUAUAGCAGCCCCUGCAAUAAUGUCAUCCCCAUUAUUCAGAUGAGGAAACUGAAAUGAGAUUGGCAUCAGAGCUGUUCUCAAACCCCUGAGGCCAUGUGCUAUUCUAGGGAGGCUUUCCACAGCCUCCAGUGAGGCUCAUCUGCUUCACAUCCUGCAGUGGUUCCUCACAGACUACCCUACUCAGCCUGGCUUCCCUAACUGACUCUCUUCCCUGCCAGGCCCUGCUGACCAAUGCCAUCUAACACUGGCAGUUCCCUCUGACACCCCAAGACUCCUCUCCAGAUUUCCAGAGCUUUGCAUGUACCAUUCCCUCUGCCAAGAUAGGCCUCAUCAAGCUCACCUCAUGAACUCCUCAUGGAAGACCAGGAGCACAUAUCACCUGGGAACCAUCUCAGACUGCCACUUCCAGCCUGAGUUUGGGCCAUACCUACAGGGCCACCACUAGCCUUUGUGCAAAUCAGAAAAAGGUACCCACUUUUGGCAGAUACAGGAAACCAUGAAGGAGGUCACAGACUGCCUUUCAGCUUCCUAGCUCCCUUUGCUAGGUGCCUUUUUGCAGUGCAUGCACAGGACAGAUGUACUCUGUGGCCUGGCUUUGGGUCCUUCAUCUGGCUUUGGGACCCCUCCUAUGGCCACAGUGACCACAAUGCACAGAAAUAGCUUUUAUUUGCUCAUCUCACUACUUGUCCCCUCGCCACCACCUCCCGCCAUGAAAAUUCUUUGAAGGUAAGGAGGAGUCCCCUACCUGCCUUGGGCCCGAAGCUUGGCCUCCAAAGAGGUACCAGUAAUAACAAUUGUAGCCAGAAUCUUUCUGAGCUCUUGCUUGUCAGGGACCAUGCUAAUUGCUUUUUGAACAUAGGCUUAUUAAAUCCACAGGCUUGGACACCUGUGUGAGGUUACAAAGUAGCAAAACCAGGAUUUCAAUCCAUGCCUUGUCUGAGGCAUUUUCCAUGACUGCCAUUUAUCUGCUAAUAUCUGUCAUUGAUUAAACAUCCAGUGACUGGAAAUGGCCACAUGGAGAGGAGUGUGGGAGUUAGGAUCUCCAAUAAAGAUGGCCAAUUUGGAACUCAGUCUAAGGUUUACCCUUCUUUGGGCCCCAGUUCUGUCACCUGUAUCACAAAGGAUGGGAGCAAAGGCAUUUGAAACCCUGCCUGCUGGGGCAGGGCACAGGAUAGUGUUCAGUGGGGUCAUGCUGGACUGUGACCUCAGCCAAAAUCCCAGGGCAGGCCUGGGGGUGCAAACACGGGCAGAGGCAGGGAGGAGCCUAACCGCACCAGACUGUGGCCCCGGGCCUUUGGGUCUGGGCCCUCACGCACUGACCACUGGACUUUAGGUCCUCCCCACCCCACCCCCAUGACGUCUGAAGGAGCAGAGAGCUGUGAAAUGAAAAUUCAAAAAGCCAAGUCUCUCAAGUAACCCAGGCUUGCCCAUUCCUGAGAAGUCAGUUUGGUGGCCAAUGCCUGGCCUUGACCUGUGUAAACAGAGGGGAAGGGAUGAGGACAGAAGGAAGACUCCAGUCCCAGAACAAAAUGACUCUGGGGACAGAGGCUGAGAGAAAGCAGGAAGCAAGCUAUAUUUCCCAUUGCCCAGGCACAGCUACAUACACGCCAUAGACAACCAGAUACAGCCCUGUUCUCAGUGAGGCACAGGGAACUCAGCCUGUAUAUGGGAUAUUGAUGGGGAGAGGGACAGUUUGGGGGCUGUUGUGCCCCUGACAAUAACCCUUGGCUUCUCUAGACACAAUCAUGGUUCAACUCUGUCCUAUGGGAGUGGGACUGAGUGCUCCCAGAGGCCAAAGCUGUGGCUCCAGCCUCCCUGCCACACUUCAGGAAGAGGGAGGGAG